UAAGGAAUAUUGGUCAAUGGACGCAAGUCUGAACCAGCCAUGCCGCGUGAAGGAUGAAGGUCCUCUGGAUUGUAAACUUCUUUUAUCUGGGACGAAAAAAGGGAAUUCUUUCUCACUUGACGGUACCAGAAGAAUAAGCACCGGCUAACUCCGUGCCAGCAGCCGCGGUAAUACGGAGGGUGCAAGCGUUAUCCGGAUUUACUGGGUUUAAAGGGUGCGUAGGUGGGCAGGUAAGUCAGUGGUGAAAUCCUCAAGCUUAACUUGAGAACUGCCAUUGAUACUAUCUGUCUUGAAUAUCCUGGAGGUGAGCGGAAUAUGUCAUGUAGCGGUGAAAUGCUUAGAUAUGACAUAGAACACCCAUUGCGAAGGCAGCUCACUACGGGAUUAUUGACACUGAGGCACGAAAGCGUGGGGAUCAAACAGGAUUAGAUACCCCUGUAGUCC
rnacentral:rRNA from 1 species